rnacentral:tRNA from 1 species
AAAUAUAUGGCAUAGUUGGCCAGAGCGCUUGGACAGUUCCAGGAGGCGCGGGUUCAAAUCCCGCUACGUUCC